UGACCUGAGGUUCCUGGAUACAAAGGCAGGUGGCGGCUCACAGCCUUCGGUCCCACGCCUCCACUGAUCCCUGGCAUCAUAAGGCGCACAGUUUCCGGAUGCCUACGGGAAGGAGCUCUUUGACAAGGCCAACAAACACCACUUUUUGCACAGCCUGGCCCUGUUAGGGGUACCCUAUUGCAGAAAACCUGUCUGGGCAGGGUUGCUGCUAGCUUCUGGAACUACCUUAUUCUGCACCAGCUUUUACUACCAGGCUCUGAGUGGAGACACUAGCAUCCAGACUCUGGGGCCUGUUGGAGGGAGCCUGCUGAUCUUGGGCUGGCUUGCCUUGGCUUUUUAAGGUCUCUUGUUUAAGUGCCCAGUCCUGGCUUUUCUGGGUAAUUGGGUGCAGAGGGAAAGGGGAAUGUUGAAGCAGAAAAGAAAUUAAAAGAAAAAGGCUUACAU
rnacentral:lncRNA from 1 species